rfam:Microgenomates (Woesebacteria) bacterium GW2011_GWA1_41_13b TT42_C0029, whole genome shotgun sequence.
UGGAGGGUCGGCUAACGGUAGGCCUAUAGACUCUGAAUCUAUCAAUCCUGGUUCGAAUCCAGGCCCUCCAG